UUUUCGUCAACAUCACAAAAUUUUGCACUCGCUUGGCUGCAGUUUGCUGCAUGGAGAUGAACACCGAUGCCAUAUUUGGACUUAAUCGUGGAUGGUCCACAAUGUCCAAGUCCGUACAACAUGAUUGUAGAUAAUAAUUCUUUAGACGAAGCAAGCCAUGCAUAUCGAACAUUUGCAUCACCACGACAACUUUUGGUAAGUUCAAUUUGCUUCUGGAAAAUCUCCAAUCGGGUUUGCAUUGAAGUACUAGACGAGUGACAAAUAUCAAGUAUGUCAGUACUAUUAAAAGAGUUCAUGCCUGUAAGAAAACAAUUUUGUACAGUAUCAGAAUCCAACUUUUCAUUAACAGUGGAUAAAUUUGCUAAAAUAUGUUGAUUUUCCUCAAAAGCUUCAUUAAUUUUUUCAUCAAGCUUCCUGUUGCAACUAUCCUCAACUUCUACAACAUUCACACUCGUAGAAUUUUGAGCAAUUUCAAUAUGCUUGACAAAAGCAUUCAAAACUCCACUACACUCUAACUUUGAUGAUGAUCCACUCCAUUUAUGUCAAUUUCCAGCUUCAGUUUUAUCUCAUGAGGCCCAUUAGACUCUCUAAACAUAGGCCCUUGGUCAUUCACACAGUUAUGAUGGCAGCACUCAUGUGGCUCCUCAUUAUCAAUAUAAAUUUCCGGAAAGAAGCAGCCACCUUCUUCAUCAAUCCAAGCAAUCGGUUGCUGAAAACCUGUCUUCAUGUCAACUCGAAACAUAUGCAAGAGAUCUAACACAUAGAGAUGACCCUCUAACUCAACCUCUAUAGCUGGUUUUUUCUCUUGAAGAUCCUUCCUAACCAAAGC
rnacentral:misc_RNA from 1 species